UACAGAGGGCGCGAGCGUUGUCCGGAAUCACUGGGCGUAAAGGGCGCGUAGGUGGCCACCAUAAGGCCGCGGUGAAAGUUUGGGGCUCAACCCCAGAUCGGCCGCGGCGACUGUGGGGCUGGGGCACUGUAGAGGCAGAUGGAAUUCCUGGUGUAGCGGUGAAAUGCGUAGGUAUCAGGAGGAACACCGGUGGCGAAGGCGGCUACCUGGACAGAAACUGACGCUGAGGCGCGAAAGCUAGGGGAGCAAACAGG
rnacentral:rRNA from 1 species